rnacentral:rRNA from 1 species
UACGUAGGUGGCAAGCGUUGUCCGGAUUUACUGGGCGUAAAGGGCUCGUAGGCGGCCAACUAAGUCGGAUGUGAAAUCCCCAGGCUUAACCUGGGAACUGCAUCCGAUACUGGAUGGCUUGAAUCCGGGAGAGGGAUGCAGAAUUCCAGGUGUAGCGGUGAAAUGCGUAGAUAUCUGGAGGAAUACCGGUGGCGAAGGCGGCAUCCUGGACCGGCAUUGACGCUGAGGAGCGAAAGCUAGGGGAGCAAACGGG